GCAUGAAGUUUCAGUUUGAAAAUCACAAUCAUGAAAGAGACAUAAGAGAUUUACAAAAUACACUAAUUAAGAUCUACGAAGCUACAUUACAUUACCCAGGAGAUGCAGUCACGGAUUAGGUCAGACAUGACGAUCGAAUCUCCACUAGCUUAAUUCGCUUGUAUUUUUCUUUGUGAGAUAAUGAUAGACGAAAGACAAAUCUAUUCCCUUCUGACUUUAGUUAAUAAUAGCAUAAAAUCCACUAGUUUUUCACCCAUAUUUUGAAAAAUUUUGCAAUGUUUCGUCUCAAAUUAUAUACUAUCAGCUAAGCCAAAAUCAGCAGAAAUGGACUUCCAUUAAUUCUCGAGCUCUCGACACCAUUGCUAGGUGCUAGCAUAGCGCAGCCAUGAACGGCUUUGUUCCGAG
rnacentral:lncRNA from 1 species